AUGAGGAAGAAUGAGGAGAACAGGAAUGCUUCCUAUAUAUCCUGGCUUUCCAGAGAUCUAAGGUUGUGUGCCAAACUUGUCUUUAGGUCCUGGAGUUGGAAGUCUUGGAAGGAAGGUGAAGUUGUGGAUGUGAUAAUAACGUGGAUUAAGCUUGAUCAUCUACACAAUCUAAAAGUAUUUGGGGUCAGGAGAGCUGAGAGGACGAUUAAUUCAACAACCAUCAAGGCAUAUGACAGCCCUCAAGGCAGCUCGGAGCCGCUCCACUCACCAGCUGCUUCUGGACGCAUUUGCCAAGUUGCCAGACAUUGUGGAAAGAGCAGUUGCUUCCCAUAUGACAUCUGUGAUAUCAGGCCACAUGAAGAUCUCAACAUCUAUUCUCUGUGCUUAGUAUACUGCUGGCUACCUGAAAGAAGGUGAGCUGUUGGCUACCUGAAAGAAGGGGAUCCCAGAAGAACCAGAUCUACCUUAGCCCUAGAUGUGAAUGAUGUGUGGGAGAAAAGUCAAG
rnacentral:lncRNA from 12 species